ACAAAUUGGAUCCUACAUUUAGGAAGAAGGAUGGCUGUAUCUGCCUUUUUGACUCUGAGGAUGCCAAGAAGGUCAAGGCGGAGAAACGGCCAUGGACCAGAGCUCUUUCACCAGAUGAGGUGAAAGAGUCUGCAAGGGAAGCUGUUGAGCAUAAAGGUGGGGACCCAAACAACGAGGAGCAUGUUCUUGGCCAGCAUAAAUUGCAGUUUGGGGCCUUCAGGGAUCAAACAUUUGAAUGGCUGGCUGAGAACGCUCUGGGGUAUGCUGGCUAUGUGGUGGCAUCCAUGUCGGUGGAGUCAGGUCGCUCUGAUUCAAACAACAAUCUGAUAAAUAAGAGACUUUUGGAGAAGUACGUCUCUCAGUUUCCUGCUGGCCGCUAUGCCAUUCGGGUGAAGAAGGACGCACUGAGCUCCCAACCUGCCACUACAGCUUCUGCCUCUACACAGGCCGCCUCCACAUCCCAACAGCCUUCAGCCUCCUUGCAGGCUGCUGUCAAUGUAGCACCCGCCUUCUCUCCACGAUCAUCCGUAGUGCCUGUAUCCUCCCUACGCGGCCUCUUGUCAAGGAGAGACCAGUCUCCCCAGGCUGUCGCCAAAAAUAUAAAGAGCCUCUCCACAAAACCAAGGUUUCAGCCAUCUAUUCCUGCCCUGCCACGCGCUGGAUCCAUUAAAACGGAACCAACUGACAGCGAGCUCAUGCAGGCUGCCGCAGAAGUUGACCCCGACACAUCGCAGAGCAGAAUUUGCCUCCCCGCUGGUUGGAUCCCCG
ensembl:lncRNA